rnacentral:rRNA from 1 species
GGUGAGUAACACGUGGAUAACCUACCUAUAAGACUGGGAUAACUACGGGAAACCGGAGCUAAUACCGGAUAAUAUAUUGAACCGCAUGGUUCAAUAGUGAAAGACGGUAUUGCUGUCACUUAUAGAUGGAUCCGCGCCGCAUUAGCUAGUUGGUAAGGUAACGGCUUACCAAGGCAACGAUGCGUAGCCGACCUGAGAGGGUGAUCGGCCACACUGGAACUGAGACACGGUCCAG